rnacentral:snRNA from 1 species
UUGAUAUAGACAAGAUUAGCAUGCUCCCAACGCAAGGAUGACAUGCAAAUUUGUGAAGCGUUCCAUAUUUUG